GUCCACGCCCUAAACGAUGUCAACUAGUUGUCGGGGAAGUUAUUCCUUGGUAACGAAGCUAACGCGUGAAGUUGACCGCCUGGGGAGUACGGCCGCAAAGGUUAAAACUCAAAGGAAUUGACGGGGACCCGCACAAGCGGUGGAUUAUGUGGAUUAAUUCGAUGCAACGCGAAAAACCUUACCUACCCUUGACAUGUCAGGAACCUCGCAGAGAUGUGAGGGUGCCCGAAAGGGACCUGAACACAGGUGCUGCAUGGCUGUCGU
rnacentral:rRNA from 1 species